rnacentral:lncRNA from 1 species
AAAAAUAAUAAUAGCUUUAGUAAAUCAAACAAUUCAGGUAAUAGCCUUUACAGAGAUGCAAUUAACUUGACUAUCUUGGUGCCAUUUGCUGAAGAGAAGUUGGAAUUACCUGCCUGUAAGUAUUUUGAUUAGCUCCAAGUAUAUUUUCCUUGGCUUGAAGAGGAGGCUCUAAAUUUUCUUCUGGUUUUGUUGAAAGUUAACAGCAUACUUGGCUCUGGGUGAGGUAUAGAAGAAGACUCGGGAUCCAUCCAAGGAACCAUGCUAAACCCUGAGGAUCCAAAUAAAUGCAAAGUCAGACGGUUCUGAAAGAGCUCACAGUCUCAAGGAGGAGACAAUUUGCAAAUGACUUCAUGUGAACAAGUGACCUAUAUUAUAUGAUGAAAAUAAUCAAGAGGGAAGGCUCCAGAAUUAAGGAGGAUCGGGAGAGGCUUCCUUAUAGAAGAUGAGAUUUUAGUAAGGGCUUGCAAGAAGACAAGGAGGUCAGGAGGAGAGAUGAAGGAGAGCAUUCCAAAAGGGAGAACAAUCACUGUAAAUGCCCUGCGUAGUGUCUUAGCUGAGAAAGAGCAAGAAGGUGACUAGAGAUUGAACUGAUUUCUCUGGAGAAUAGUGCCCUGCUUAAGGUGUUGGAGAUCCUCACUGAACCCUUCUUCAAGAUCUCCAUCAAGACGUAUCAGCUUCUGUGCACU